AUAAGGAGGAUCCGAGCGUUAUCUGGAUUUAUUGGGUCUAAAGGGUGCGUAGGCGGUUUGUUAAGUCCGUUGUGAAAGUUUGCGGCUCAACCGAAAAACUGCAGUUGAUACUGGUGGUCUUGAGUGCAGCAGAGGUAGGCGGAAUUCGUGGUGUAGCGGUGAAAUGCUUAGAUAUCACGAAGAACUCCGAUUGCGAAGGCAGCUUACUGGACUGUAACUGACGCUGAUGCUCGAAAGUGUGGGUAUCAAACAGGAUUGGAUACCCUGGUAGUCCACACAGUAAACGAUGAAUACUCGCUGUUUGCGAUAUACAGCAAGCGGCCAAGCGAAAGCAUUAAGUAUUCCACCUGGGGAGUACGCCGGCAACGGUGAAACUCAAAGGAAUUGACGGGG
rnacentral:rRNA from 1 species